rnacentral:rRNA from 1 species
UUAAAGAGAGUUUGAUCCUGGCUCAGGACGAACGCUGGCGGCGUGCCUAAUACAUGCAAGUCGAACGAACGGAGGAAGAGCUUGCUCUUCCAAAGUUAGUGGCGGACGGGUGAGUAACACGUGGGCAACCUGCCUGUAAGUUGGGGAUAACUCCGGGAAACCGGGGCUAAUACCGAAUGAUAAAGUGUGGCGCAUGCCACGCUUUUGAAAGAUGGUUUCGGCUAUCGCUUACAGAUGGGCCCGCGGUGCAUUAGCUAGUUGGUAGGGUAAUGGCCUACCAAGGCAACGAUGCAUAGCCGACCUGAGAGGGUGAUCGGCCACACUGGGACUGAGACACGGCCCAGACUCCUACGGGAGGCAGCAGUAGGGAAUCUUCCGCAAUGGACGAAAGUCUGACGGAGCAACGCCGCGUGUAUGAAGAAGGUUUUCGGAUCGUAAAGUACUGUUGUUAGAGAAGAACAAGGAUAAGAGUAACUGCUUGUCCCUUGACGGUAUCUAACCAGAAAGCCACGGCUAACUACGUGCCAGCAGCCGCGGUAAUACGUAGGUGGCAAGCGUUGUCCGGAUUUAUUGGGCGUAAAGCGCGCGCAGGCGGUCUUUUAAGUCUGAUGUGAAAGCCCCCGGCUUAACCGGGGAGGGUCAUUGGAAACUGGAAGACUGGAGUGCAGAAGAGGAGAGUGGAAUUCCACGUGUAGCGGUGAAAUGCGUAGAUAUGUGGAGGAACACCAGUGGCGAAGGCGACUCUCUGGUCUGUAACUGACGCUGAGGCGCGAAAGCGUGGGGAGCAAACAGGAUUAGAUAC